UACAGAGGUCUCAAGCGUUGUCCGGAUUUAUUGGGCGUAAAGAGCUCGUAGGCGGUUCGGUAAGUCGGGUGUGAAAGCUUUGGGCUUAACCCAAAGCGUGCACUCGAUACUGCCAUGACUAGAGUUCGGUAGGGGAGUGGGGAAUUCCUAGUGUAGCGGUGAAAUGCGCAGAUAUUAGGAGGAACACCGGUGGCGAAGGCGCCACUCUGGGCCGAAACUGACGCUGAGGAGCGAAAGCGUGGGGAGCAAACAGG
rnacentral:rRNA from 1 species